GAUGAACGCUGGCGGCGUGCCUAAUACAUGCAAGUCGAGCGAACGGACGAGAAGCUUGCUUCUCUGAUGUUAGCGGCGGACGGGUGAGUAACACGUGGAUAACCUACCUAUACGACUGGGAUAACUUCGGGAAACCGGAGCUAAUACCGGAUAAUAUUUUGAACCGCAUGGUUCAAAAGUGAAAGACGGUCUUGCUGUCACUUAUAGAUGGAUCCGCGCUGCAUUAGCUAGUUGGUAAGGUAACGGCUUACCAAGGCAACGUUGCAUAGCCGACCUGAGAGGGUGAUCGGCCACACGGGAACGGAGACACGGUCCAGACUCCUGCGGGAGGCAGCAGUAGGGAAUCUUCCGGAAUGGGCGAAAGCCUGACGGAGCAACGCCGCGUGAGUGAUGAAGGUCUUCGGAUCGUAAAACUCUGUUAUUAGGGAAGAACAUAUGUGUAAGUAACUGUGCACAUCUUGACGGUACCUAAUCAGAAAGCCACGGCUAACUACGUG
rnacentral:rRNA from 1 species